GCGACACCCACCAACCCCCCCUUCCUAUCAUUAGGAAUGGGGGGUGUUGAGUGGAACUGGCCAUCCGAACGUCGUUCGCAAGAAUCGACGCUGGGUUGGCUGAAAUGGAGGGAAUUCGGCCUUAGCCGGGGGAACACAUCCCGCGAUUAGGUGAUCCAAGCAAUUGGAACUCGGAUGCGCGUUGGUUGUGGCCCCACCCAAGGCGGGCAUAAAUAAGGAUUCCAAAGCAGGUCCCCUUAGCACUCCCUCCCCCUUUAUUGCAAAAUAAAGGGGGGAGAGAGCAAAAGGGAAAGAAUGUCACGCAUCAGACCUCUGAUCAGAAAAGACUACCCGCUGAGUUUAAGCAUAUCACUAAGCGGAGGAGAAGAAACUAACCAGGAUUUCCCUAGUAACGGCGAGCGAACCGGAAAGAGCCCAGCUUGAAAAUCGCGGCGCUUCGCGCCGGGAGUUGUAGUCUGGAGAAGCAUCCUNUGCAGCGCACCGGACCCAAGUUCCCUGGAAAGGGACGUCAGAGAGGGUGAGA
rnacentral:rRNA from 1 species